rnacentral:rRNA from 1 species
UACGUAGGGUGCAAGCGUUGUCCGGAAUUAUUGGGCGUAAAGAGCUCGUAGGCGGUCUGUCGCGUCUGCUGUGAAAACUCAGGGCUUAACCCUGAGCUUGCAGUGGGUACGGGCAGACUAGAGUGCGGUAGGGGAGACUGGAAUUCCUGGGUGUAGCGGUGAAAUGCGCAGAUAUCAGGAGGGAACACCGGUGGCGAAGGCGGGUCUCUGGGCCGUAACUGACGCUGGAG